rnacentral:rRNA from 1 species
GACGAACGCUGGCGGCGUGCCUAAUACAUGCAAGUCGAACGCAGUGGGGACGGGUGAGUAACACGUGGGUAACCUCCCAUCAGAGGGGAUAACACUUGGAAACAGGUGCUAAACCGAUACUGAUGGAUGGACCCUCGGUGCAUUAGAUAGUGGGUGAGGUAACGGCCCACCAAGGCCACGAUACAUAGCCGCACUGAGAGGAUGAGCGGCCACACUGGGACUGAGACACGGCCCAGACUCCUACGGGAGGUAGCAGUAGGGAAUCUUCGGCAAUGGACGGAAGUCUUACCGAGCAACGCCGCGGGAGUGAAGAAGGUUUUCGGAUCGUAAAGCUCUGUUGUUCGAGACGCGGUAACUAACCAGAAAGGGACGGCUAACUACGUGCCAGCAGCCGCGGUAAUAC